rnacentral:lncRNA from 1 species
UGUAACACAGUAGAAACAGUGACUUGUGACCUGAAUAGAAAAUGCCUACAGGAACAAUACAAUACUGUACAUGCAUUAGAGAAUAUUGAUGUUAAACAUGUGCCUCGUCCCAAAUGGCACCCUAUUCCCGCUGGGCCCUGUUCAAAAGUAGUGCACUAAAUAGGGAAUAGGGUGCCAUUUGGGACAAAGGCCACAGAUUGAGAGCGCAGAGGAAUGUCCUGCACUUGCAGUGUAAUUAUGGUGUGAGGGAGUGGGAGAAGAGGACAAGUAUGGAAGGAAGGGAUGCAGAGAGGGAGCUCUAUGUUAUUGAGAUGAUGAGGUGCUGCAGGUUUCUCCUACCAUAUGGGUGUAACACACACUCACAGUAAGCUCUCCAUCAAUGUCUCUGGGUGGCAGGAAUCAAGUUAUUAACAAUUCUAUACCGCAGUGCAUCUGACAGACAGACAGACAGACAAGACAAGACAAGACAAGACAGAGGAUCAACAGUCAGUCAGACAGACAGACAGAGGAUCAACAGUCAGUCAGACAUGCACACAGACAGACAGAGGAUCAACAGUCAGAUCAACAGUCAGUCAGACAGACAGAGGAUCAACAGUCAGUCAGACAGACAGAGGAUCAACAGUCAGACAGACAGACAGACAGAGGAUCAACAGUCAGACAGACAGACAGAGGAUCAUCAGUCAGACAGACAGACAGACAGACAGACAGACAGACAGACAGACAGACAGACAGACAGACAGACAGACAGACAGACAGACAGACAGACAGACAGACAGACAGACAGACAGCGGAUCAACAGUCAGUCAGACACUCACUCAGACAGACAGAGCAGUGACCGCCAGUUCACCCCAUGUUCCACGGUCACCAGUCAUGUCAGUCUGAGCUCCAGAGGGCUCAGACAGGUUAGCUGGUGUGUUACCGACCAUGUGCUGAUGUGAUACUACUACUACUACUACUACUACUACAUUACUACUAUGCCCUGGGUCUCUUUCUAUGUUUAUAUCUCUGAGUCUCAGAGCUGCGGAUAUGCCAAAAAUGACACCCUAUUCCCUACUUUUGACCGGGGGUUAUAAGGUUCCUGUAGGGCUCUGGUCAAAAGCAGUGCACUAUGUAGGGAAUAGGGUGCCAUUUGGGACUCAGAACUAAGAAUGUGUGCCAAACAGAGGCUCGUUUGGUGGUUGGAAGUGAGCUGCUGUCAUCCCUGCUCAGCUCCCUCUCCGUGACGCAUCAUCACUCCGCGCCAGACCAUAAGGACUUGCCAGACUGGUUACACUUCGUCUGUUCGUCCUGUAGUCAUCAUCUGUGUGCGUUGUUCUGUGUUUCGCUGACCCUGGGUCAGUGUAGCAUUUUCCCCGC